GCAAGUCGAGGGGUAACAUGAUUUUCGGAUGGAUGACGACCGGCGCACGGGUGCGUAACGCGUAUGCAAUCUACCCAUUACUGGGGGAUAGCCCGGGGAAACCCGGAUUAAUACCCCAUAGUAUCCUUUGAUGGCAUCUGAAGAGGAUUAAAGAUUCAUUGGUAAUGGAUGAGCAUGCGUCUGAUUAGUUAGUUGGUAAGGUAACGGCUUACCAAGACGAUGAUCAGUAGGGGGUCUGAGAGGAUGAUC
rnacentral:rRNA from 1 species